rnacentral:misc_RNA from 1 species
UUUUUUUCUCUCUCUAAACCCAUACGCUUCUUAAAUCCAAUCCUUUGACUCAUUUGCUCCCUUCCUACUCCUAUUCUUAUGCUUCUCUCCUCCUCCAAACCCGCUCUUCAAUUCCAUAAACCUCUACCUCCCUCACAACACAUACCCUGAUUCUAUCUUUAUAUGUAUUAUAUAUAUAUAAACAAUAUAUUCUUUCGCUGUCUUUCUUUCUUUCCUUCUAUCCAUCUCCAUUUUCUUUAAUUAAACUCUCUGCAUAUAUAUGUAUGUUCGUUUUUUUGGGCUCGCGAGAAAACUAAUAAUGGCGACAACAACAACAACAGAAACCGUAACCUCAGGCUGCAGGCCUCAAAAUCCCACCGGUAAGUUUGUAUGCUUCUCUUUCGCAGCCUAUGCCAAAACCCUGAUAGACCACCUCAAGUCUCUCAAUAUCCCUGUCCUCCCUGGCCUCACCGACCCUGAAUUCUCCUCCAUUGAAUCCACCUUUCAUUUCUCUUUUCCUCCUGACCUUCGCUCUAUUCUCCAAGAAGGCCUCCCUGUUGGCCUUCACUUCCCUAAUUGGCGCUCUUCCUCUCCUCAGCAACUCGAAAUUUUACUAAACCUCCCUUUCUUGAAUCUCUCCAAGAAUAUCUCUCAGAACAACUUCUGGGUUCAUUCUUGGGGUGACAAACCAGAUGAUAGCAACCU